CUUGCGCAGUUCAGUAUGGAUUUGUUGAUAUUGUACCUCCAAUGACUGAUCACCAUGAUGAGACCAUACAGCCUAUAUACCUGACAUACC